UACGUAGGGUGCGAGCGUUAAUCGGAAUUACUGGGCGUAAAGCGUGCGCAGGCGGCGCGUUAAGACAGGUGUGAAAGCCCCGAGCUUAACUUGGGAAUUGCGCUUGUGACUGGCGUGCUGGAGUGUGGCAGAGGGAGGUGGAAUUCCACGUGUAGCAGUGAAAUGCGUAGAGAUGUGGAGGAACACCGAUGGCGAAGGCGGCUCACUGGACCGGUACUGACGCUGAGGCGCGAAAGCGUGGGGAGCAAACAGG
rnacentral:rRNA from 1 species